UUGAACGAGGGAACAGAGUUGAAGGUCAAAUCCAAAGACAAAUAUGAAGUUGUGUUGAAGGCUAAGCCAUUUGCUUAUGCUUCAAAGAAGCAUUUCAAAGAAUGUGAAAAGCCUAAGCCUUCACCAACUCCAUACUAUUACAAGUCACCUCCUCCUCCAUCUCCAGUUUACAUAUACAAGUCACCACCUCCUCCAUCACCUACUUAUGUUUACAAGUCACCACCACCACCAGUGAAGUCACCUCCCUAUUACUAUCAAUCUCCACCUCCACCAUCACCAAAACCUCAGCCUCCUUAUUAUUAUCACUCUCCACCUCCUCCAACACCAGUUGUUAAGCCACCAUACUACUACCAAUCUCCACCUCCUCCAUCUCCAAAACCUAAGCCUCCAUACUACUACCAAUCUCCUCCUCCUCCAUCACCAAAACCUAAACCUCCUUACUACUACCAAUCUCCACCUCCUCCAUCACCAAAACCUCAGCCUCCAUACUACUAUCAAUCUCCACCUCCUCCAACACCAGUUGUGAAGCCACCAUACUACUACCAAUCUCCACCUCCUCCAUCACCAAAACCUCAGCCUCCUUACUAUUACCAAUCUCCACCUCCUCCAACACCAGUUGUUAAGCCACCAUACUACUAUAAAUCUCCACCUCCCCCAUCACCCUCUCCUCCACCACCAUACUACUACAAAUCUCCACCACCACCAUCCCCAUCACCGCCACCUCCAUACUACUAUAAAUCUCCACCUCCACCAUCACCGGUUGUUAAGCCACCAUACUACUAUAAAUCCCCACCUCCCCCAUCACCCUCUCCUCCCCCUCCAUACUACUAUAAAUCUCCACCUCCAUACUACUACCACUCUCCACCUCCACCAUCACCAGUUGUUAAGCCACCAUACUACUACAAAUCUCCACCUCCACCAUCACCCUCACCUCCCCCUCCAUACUACUAUAAAUCUCCACCCCCACCUUCACCAUCCCCUCCUCCUCCAUACUAUUAUAAAUCACCACCACCACCAUCCCCAUCACCGCCACCUCCAUACUAUUACAAAUCCCCUCCACCUCCAUCCCCAUCUCCACCGCCUCCUUAUUACUAUCACAGUCCUCCUCCACCAUCUCCCACUCCUCAUCCUCCCUACUACUACAAAUCCCCUCCACCACCAACGUCCUAUCCUCCACCUCCUUACCACUAUGUGAGCCCUCCACCACCUUCUCCAUCUCCACCUCCACCAUACUAUUACAAAUCACCACCUCCUCCCUCCCCAGCCCCCGCUCCAAAGUACAUUUACAAAUCACCUCCACCUCCAGCUUACAUCUAUUCUUCCCCACCUCCACCCAUCUACAAGUAAGCUCGGAUUGUGGAAGCACCAUUCACCACAAAUCAUGUAAGUUCAGGAUUCCAACAUUGAUCAUAAGUAAAAUUAGUUAAUUAUACGUGUAUGAAUUUUAGUAAUGGAAAUUCCCACUGAAUUAUUUU
rnacentral:lncRNA from 1 species